rnacentral:rRNA from 1 species
UACGUAGGGUGCGAGCGUUAAUCGGAAUUACUGGGCGUAAAGUGUGCGUAGGCGGCGUUGCAAGUCGAGUGUGAAAUCCCCGAGCUUAACUUGGGAAUUGCGCUCGAAACUACGAUGCUCGAGUAUGGCAGAGGAAGGUGGAAUUCCAGGUGUAGCGGUGAAAUGCGUAGAUAUCUGGAGGAACACCGGUGGCGAAGGCGGCAUCCUGGACCGACACUGACACUGAGGAGCGAAAGCCAGGGGAGCAAACGGG